rnacentral:lncRNA from 1 species
GAAAUUAAAUGUGUGGCUACAACAUCAAACAACCAGAAUUUAAGAAUUAUUAUAGAACAGAAUAAAGUGAGGGUCUGAAGAAUUAUCAAUAAAGCAUGAUCCUUUCAGAACGCUGGGCUUUAACUGAACACAUAGCUACCCAACUAAAGCAUCUUUUGCAGCUAGAAAUGGCCAUGUGAUCAAGUAUGGAGAAACUAGAGGGGUUGGCAAGUGAUGAGUGUGACUUUGGACCACCUCCUUGAAGAUGCAGCUGCUUCCCAGGACUUCUUUCCCACUUCCCACAGGCUGGAGAGUGGGCACCCAGGCUUUAGUCACAACCACCAAGAUGACCCUGUGGGGGAGGUGACAGGGAGAGAAGAUGGACCUCUUGGAGAGGAGCAGCCACAUCUCCAGCUAUGGACUGCUGACAUAAGUACUAUUUAGAGAGAGGAAAAUAAACUAUCCCGUGUAAGUCA